AACGAACGCUGGCGGCAGGCCUAACACAUGCAAGUCGAACGCCCUCUUCGGAGGGAGUGGCAGACGGGUGAGUAACGCGUGGGAACGUGCCCUUCAGUUCGGAAUAACCCAGGGAAACUUGGGCUAAUACCGGAUACGUGCGAGAGCAGAAAGAUUUAUCGCUGAAGGAUCGGCCCGCGUCUGAUUAGCUAGUUGGUGAGGUAACGGCUCACCAAGGCGACGAUCAGUAGCUGGUCUGAGAGGAUGAUCAGCCACAUUGGGACUGAGACACGGCCCAAACUCCUACGGGAGGCAGCAGUGGGGAAUAUUGGACAAUGGGCGCAAGCCUGAUCCAGCCAUGCCGCGUGAGUGAUGAAGGCCUUAGGGUUGUAAAGCUCUUUCGGCGGGGACGAUAAUGACGGUACCCGCAGAAGAAGCCCCGGCUAACUUCGUG
rnacentral:rRNA from 1 species